rnacentral:lncRNA from 1 species
ACGGCGACGUUCGGAAACAUAGAUCACUAUUUUAGAUAAGUGCCAGGUAGGAAGCCUUAAGUAAGUGCCAACUGCUGUUAUAGUUAGAGGACGCUUUGCUUUUUUACUGGAUAGUUUAAUGUACCCUGACAACCACUUCACCAGAAACCGAGGCUCGGGUCGGUGGCCCGAUGUGCUCGAGUCAGGAGCUCCCAGCCAGGGAAUUUGGAUUCGAGGGCAGGUGUGCUUCGCUUCAGUCUCAGGCUUUGUCUGAUGUCACACCUGCCCAAGACUGGCGUUACAGCCUUCACAGCACUUAGGAACAUGGCCUGUCCCUGCGUCCCCAGGGAUGUAAAGGAAAGGAUGUGGAUGGAAUCCCAUGGUGUGUCACAUGUAUCCUGGGAUUUCUAGUGUCUCUUCAGGUCCCUUGGGUCAGACAGAGGCGCCUGGCCCCCUCUGCAUUGUCAGGCUUUCUGUCCUUCAAGUCUAAUGUUAUAAUGAAUUCCAAGAGUCAGGCUUUUUGCCCCUAAAAUGAAUUUAUUUCUCAGAUCCAUGUCCCAGUUGCCUUGAAACAAACCAGCCCUUGUGAGGCGGGAAGCAGGGGGCCUCUGUGAGGGAGUCUUAGCUGGAAGAGAGCGGCCCUCUGACCUUAGACCUCUCUCCAGAGCUUCAGAGCAGAGACAAGAGCCCAGAAAGGAGCAGAUGCUAGAUUUGCAAGAUCAGAAGCAGGUCUUGAUCCUCCUGCCCAGGAUGAACCAGACUUGAUGAUGAUGCCACCUUCAGGAGCCACCACACUGUGUGACAGUGGGGCAUUUGGGCCGUCCCUGGGAAGAACAGAUGCGCUGCUGUCACACAUGUCCACCACCACAUGUGACAUUAGUGACGUUAUCCUGACGUCACAGGAUCCAAGAAUGAUGAUCUGUGAAGAGUUUUCCAAGGUCACCUACUUCUAA